CGACAGGACACAUCUACUUUUACUAUGAUCAGCAGAUGGCCUCAGACAAGUUCAAAGUGAAUAUCCAUAAAACAAGUCGUUGAUUUUACUGGAACUUAUUUUUGGAAGAAAUUCUACUCACGCCCAGACUAUCAAGAUGUUUGCUACCAGAGAAAUAAUGGAUUGAACUUCAGAACCAUGUUCCUGAGAAAGAUCUUGCAUUAAGGAGGUUACUUUCUGUCAUAAGAAUGAAAAUGAAGAGCAGUUUUACUUUGAAUAGAAGAUGGAUUUAAAUCUUUGAAGAACCCUGUGGCUUGCAGCCAGCUGGCCAGCUUGUUGGUUGAUCGUCAGGAUGAUUCUCCGCAUCACAGCGAAUGCUUCCAGUCAGGUUGCCUCAAGCCAAGUUGGGGAGAAAGAUAAAUUCAUUCUUGUGUUACCACAAAAAGAGCAAAUCAAUGUAAAGGAUGUCUCAAAUCCUAUUUUUUUUUAAAUGUCCAUCCUUUUCAACACCAUCAUUGGGCAGCAGUUUGUAGUCACAACACAGAACUCAAACUCACUGAAUGAAUUUUGUUCUUAAGUUAAAAAUUCUCUCUAACCUUCCAUUUUGGCAAAUCCUCACUUAAAUCUGAUACACUUUAUGUGUAGAAUGAAAGGCAACAUGAUCUCCCAAUGAAGAAAGUAUUUUGAUGAAAAGGUGAUGUUGAUAUUUGGUCUGCAGUGAUUGGUCCGAUAGUCAAUCUUUCGUUUGUAACUUUGUUGGCAAUGAAUUGCUUUAACCCACUUGACAUCCCCAAUAACACUUGUAUUCUUUUGGAAUUUAGAAGAAUGAGGGACGAUCUAUUGAACCGCACAAGUUCCCAAGAGAGGAUAGGUUAGAUUUAGAGAUAUUUCAAUUGGAGGUACAUUCUUGCACAAGGAAACAUGAAUUGCUGAAUAUUUUAGAGUUUUAGAGUUAGGAAGGCUAGAUAAAUACAGGUGUUUAAGGAGGAGGUGGAAACAUUUUUGAAAGAUCAGAAAAUGAGAGUUACUAGAAACAGAUACAGUAAAGAAGUUGAAACUGGGGCAGAUCAGCCACGAUGACGUUAAUGGAGGGGCAGGCUCAAAAUAGGUGCCGACCCCUGUUGCUAUGUUCCUACUUUUAUUGUGUAUGUCAAUUGAACCCUUUUACAUCUUUCUAAAAGAGGGAGACAUAAAACGCAAGUGUGAAUGAAUGCGCUAGUUACACAGAUGUGUGAAUGAUGAAUCGGGAAAAACCACUGGAAAAACAAACUGAACAUUUUGUUUGUGCCUUGCAAAAAUAUCACAGCUAAAAUAUAAUAUAAGUUAGGUAUUUGUGGGCUGAUUUGUGUGGAGUGUUUCCUUCUUCUCCUCUGAGACCUUGGCAUCAGUGCUCUGGAAUUUUUAUGAAAUAGGAUUGGUAUUGGGUCUGUAGCUCUUUUUAAUGCAAUUCACCUCAGGACGCUUGGUGUAAUUUUAUGCCCUGAUUUUACAUGGAGAUUGAGAGGGGAGGCUGGGUGAACAGGAAUCUUCCUUAUAAACUGGUAAUGAUGCAAGGAAGGUCUGUGUAUUUUUUGCAAUAAACAACAGAAGACAGUGCUAAUCUUGGCAAGCAAGCAAUUAAAGUCCCCUGACUUCAUUACAUCAUCCCUGAGGCCUGACAUGGUCAUUCUGUCAGAAACCUCGAAACAGGUGGUCUUGGUAGAAUUGACAGAUCCUUGGGGAAGACCGGAUUGAGGAGCCAUUUGAGUGUAAGAAAGCCAAGUACCUGGAGCUGGUAGAGCCGUGCCAAAAACAGGCAGAGGGCAUGAUGCCAGCCUAUGGAGGUGGGGUGCAGAGGUUUAGCUGGCUGCUUGCUGUGCAGAACCUAUUUGCUCCUUGGCAUUAUGAGGACUGCAAAGAAAAGAGCCAUCAAGACCAUCACGAUGGCUGCAGAUGAGCCUCCAGAUGGCUAUGGAUCAAGAGGUGUGACCCAUGGACCAGUGCUGCUGGGACACAAGCCAGGGCCUGAUCAACCCUGGCUGGUCACCUGGACGAGCAUGUCUGAUGUUGAGAAACCGAAAACACUCGAAGACCCCAGGUGACAUUACUGAUGAUGUGCCCAGCACAUCCUAGGAUGUCUCUCUGCAUCAUUUUGAAUAUAAUUACCCAAAUGGGUCCAAUUUAGUGCUUUAUCAACGUUUAACAUUAGUUCCUUGCUUUUGUAAUCCAUGCUCAAUUGAUGAAGAAUUCUAAAUUCCUGUUUUUUUUUUAAGCACCCCAACUUGCUUGGUUCACUUGAGAUAUUUUCAUAUAUAAAGCAAACAAUGUCUGAGCAGAAAAGAGUGCUGAAUCAAGAAAUAUGGAAAAGCCUUGCCCUGCUGUUUUAAAUGGACUGGUAAUCAAAAACCUUCACUCAUAACUAUGAUGUGAAUUCACAUCCCAACAAAUCAGUUGGGACGUUUAAAUUCAGUUUGUCAAAAUAAUGUGCUGACAAAUAAUGGUGACCAGGAGAACAGAAGCUUGCUCCUACUCAACCAGUCAAUGACUCUGCACCACUUGACUACUGUAAUCUACAGAACAUCUCUUGCUUCCCUUUAUACCUAAAAGUACAUCAAUAUUUUUCUUGAACGUAUUCAGCAACUGAAUCUGCACAGCCAUCUUAGCUAGAGACUUCAAAGGAUUCAUGGCACUCUGGGUAAGAAAUAUCUUCUCAUCUCUGGCAUGACUGGUGAAGUGGUCUGAGAUGCUGACCGACCUUUGGUUUUGACAUCCCAACCAAGGGAAACAUCAACUCUGCAUCUCCUUUGUCAAUCCCAAUAGGAGUUUUCCAUAUUUCAUUAAGAUCAUCUCUGAUUCUUCCAACCUUCAGAGGACUGGGUGGCAUGGUAGCAUAGUGGUUAGCACAAUGCUUUACAGUACAGGCGACACAAGUUCAUUUCCCACUGCUGCCUGCAAGGAGUUCAUAUGUUCUCCCUGUGACUCCGAGUGCUCUGGUUUCCUCACACAGCCCAAAGAUGACCCAGUUGGUAGGUUAAUUGGUCAUCGUCAACAGUCCUGUGAUUAGGCUCAAAUUAAAUCAGGGGAUUGCUGGGCCUCCUCCGCACUGUAUCUCAAUCAUAGUAAUAAAUAUAGGCUUCAUGUCCAUGACUUCUCACCAUACAUCAAGCCUGAUAUCUCCGCAAUAAAUUUGAUGAACUAAUGUGAUUAGACAAUCACAUUGUCAUAAUUUCAUUCUUGUUAUUUUCAUUUACUAAAUACGAAUGUUGCUGUCAAGACUGGCAUUUAUUGCCCAUCCCUGGUUACCAUUGAGAACAAGAUUAUGAGCUAUCCUCUUGGCUUCUAUAGUCCUUCUGGCAAAGGCACUUCCAUAUUGCUGUUAAGUAGGGAGGACCAGGGCCUAGAGCUGGCGACCAUUAAUAAACAGCAAAGAUGGUAUAUGGAUGCUGAGUGACUUGGAGAGAGCUUGCCAAUACUGGUGUUCCCAUGCACCUGUUGCCUUUAUUGUUUUAGUGGUAGAGGCUGAGGGUUUACAAGUUACUGCCAAAGAUGCUUAGGUAAAUCCAUGCAGUGAAUUUUAUUGAUGGGACACACUGCCACCACCUUGUACCAGUGGUGAAUCAAAUGAAUCUUUGGAGGCUUGAGUUCAAGUCAGAGCUUGGCUUCUCUGUUGCUUUGUUGAGGGAAGUGUCAAGCUUCUGGAAUGUUGCUGGAGCUGCAUGUCCGGGCAUGUGGAGAGUGUUCCAUCAAUCUCCUGAGGAGCGAUCUAUAGACAGUGAGUAGGCUUUAGGGAGUGAGGUAUGUCACUCACUGCAGAAUGCUCAGCCUUUGACUGUUCUUGUAGUCACACUAUUAAAAAGGCUAGCCUAAUUGUUUUUGCUCAAUGAUCACAGCAGGACAUUAAUGUGGUAGGGGACUCAGCGAUGGUAAUUCCAUUGAAUGCAGGAUUAGGCAACAACUGUCUCUAGUUCGAGACAGUUGUUAUCUGGCAGUUCUAUGACAUGAAUAUCAUUUAUUGUCCUUUACUUGAAUGUUACAGGGUUCUUGUUGCUUGCAGACGCAGGCCAUUUCAAAAUCUGGCUACCCUCCAACCUGAUGGCAUGUACAUUGAAUUCUUGAACUUCUGAUAAUUACCCCCUCCCCUUCACCAUUCCCCCAUUCCCGUUUCCCUCUGUCACCUUAUCUUCUUACCUGCCCAUCAGCUCCCUUUGGUGCUCCUCCCUCUUUCCAUUCUUCCAUGGAGUCUCCAGCAGAUUCCCCCUUCUCCAGCCCUUUAUCUCUUUCCCAGCUCACAAUUGACCUCCCAGCUCUUUACUUCACCUCUCCCGACUCCCCCCCCAGUUUCACCUAUCACCUACCGCCUUAUACUUCUUCAACUCCUCCCUCACCUUCUUGCUCUGAUUUCUCAUAUUUUUCCCCAGUCCUGAUGAAGGAUCUUGGCCCAAAACAUCAACAGUUUACUCUUUUCCAUAGAUGCUGCCUGGCCUGCUGAGUUCCUCCAGCAUUUUGCCAGGAGAUCAUGAAUUUUGCAGUCAAGCAGCAAAAGUAGGAAUUUGUCAAGGUCUGAGAAAUUGACACUGGAGUUGAACACCAAAAUAAUCAUGAACUUUGUUAUAUUUGACAUUUUGAUGGAGGUAAGGUAAUUGAGGAAGAGGUUGAAAAUGGUUGGAUAUUUUCCCGGAGAAUCUCCUAAAUACACAUUGUAAAGCAUGAAGAAACCCAGACAGUAUCCAGAAAUGAUCAACAUAAAUGUUCAAUAGAUGAACACAUUUGGGACUUCUAAAAUUAAAUGUUUGCUCCAAGCAAUUAAAUUUCUAGAUGCAGUUUAUUUUAAUUUCAGGCAUCAUUGCUGUAGCAAAGGGGGAAGGAGUGCCAAUUUAUACCUUGGAAAGCAAAUAUUAAUCUUGAGUCAGGAUUGCAUCUGCAAAGUAGGAGUGUGCACUGUUAUUGUGCCGCUGAUUAUUAAAAAUGUUAUAGUCAACAUCUACCCAUCAACCUCCAACCAAAAAUUAUUUCAGCCGAGAGCUUUGUUGUCCAAUCUGUCAAUCAUUCAUAAUUAAAAUGCAGUGGAGUGAACAGAUGCAUUGAAAGUUGAUGAAGAGGUGAUUGCAUGUCACGCGGUUUCCAUUAAUCCUUUGUGAUUGCUGUGUAAAGCUAUCAUCAUGUAGAUUAAUCAGCCUCCCUUGGCCCCAGCUGGCAAUUCCUCUGCAUUUGAAACUGACCAAUUAAACUACUAGUGGAUGAAAAAAUGACAUUGAUAGUCACUCUUACUUCCAUUUGUGCACAUUUUUAUUACACUUUCAUCUUAUUAUUUUCAAAUUAUGUUAAAUUCUUACUUUUAUUCCAUUCAUUUUAUUUUUUUCCUGAGCAGUACCAACUUUUCUAUCUUUAACUGUCAGAGAUAUUGGGACUAUCCAUAACUGGAAACUCCAAGCUUCUUGUGAGGUUCAAUCUCAUGAGAAAUCAAUGACUCUCUUCCUUACAAUGAAGAGGGAAGGCAAUGAGGGAAGGAGACAAUUUUCAUGUAAUUUUCAUUUUUAUUGUCUUAAAUGCCAUGUAUUUAAUUGUUUUCAGUAUUUUAAUUAUUUUAUUGUAAAAUUGUUAAUGUAUUUAAUUUUGAAUUAUUUUGACUAUCACAGAUUCACAAAUGUUCAAUCUAUUUUAAUAGCCAGUUCAAACUUGGGAUAUGGGUUACCCUGGCAAACUAUAAAAGCAUUUCUGUGGUCAGUGCUUAUUCAGGACCUACCACAUGAUAUCAGUUCAAUGGGAAUGGCAUUGUGCAGCUGCUAGGUUUGAACAGACUACCUUUGAAAAGCUGAUGCUGGAAGACCUAUGCCAGGAAAUCAUGAAUUUUGCAGUCAAGCAGCAACAGCAGGUAGCUCACUCAGCAGAAUAUUCUAGGCCAGAGUCCUUUCUAGAUCUAAUCUCUUCAAUCAUGCCAGUCUCAAAUAAUUCUUUGCUUACGUUAUCCCACUAUUUAAGUAUGUUGCUGCAAAGCACCUUAGUUUGACAGUAGUUCAAGUGUUACUGACACAAACCAUCUCUAGAAAACUUCUUUUAGAACAAGUCAAUUAUAUAUGUGUGACUCCCGUUGAGAAAAAAGUAAAUGGACAACAUUUUUACUGCAGAUGCUGGAAUCUGAGAUCAGGACGGGAAAUGAAUAUUUAGUGAAGGGUUUCAACUCAAAACAUUGACUAUCCAUUCCCCCCUGUAGGUGCUGCCUGACUUGCUGAGUUCCUCCAGGUUCUUGAAUAUUUUAUAUAUUUGUUUCUAACUGAAGCAAUCCCUCAGCUACAGCAAAUCCAAAGGAGCAGAUAUGAUGUUGUGAAAAAAUAAUGUCUAAUAACUAUGCUAUGUUUGUCUUCUGCCCUGCUGUUAUUUAAGCUUGUUUAGUUUACCAUAAUGUAUAAGGCUGAUGGUAUGGAGGAAUGAUCUAUACUCCAAUGUUAAUUUGAUUCUUCAUCUGAAAUGUCGAUGCUGGAUUUGUGU